rnacentral:lncRNA from 1 species
CUUGGGUCUGAAGAGCGUUUUCCCACAUGACCCUGGCCGAAGAGGCAAUUUAGCUAGGUCGUCUCUGUUACUGAAACAUCUCCAAGGCAUUUGUUUCAACCCUUCUGAUCUAAGUAUACAACUGCGUAUUUCUACACUGAAAAAUAGAACCCGGGCUAGGACUAUCGAUUUUGUGAAAGAGCUCAAAACAUUAAAAGGUGCAGCCCACGCACCCAUGAGGCACUGACACUCAGAGAUGCACUCAAGCCAGGAUCACAUGCAAUAGUGAGGACUGGACACAUGGCUGAUUGGAAUUGGGAUGUGCUAUACACUGCCGAAAGAUAACAGCAACAGAAGUCAUGUCAUGAAGCCGAGGAUCACUGGGGGAAAUGCGAAUCCACAGGCCUUCAGAUCUGAGGCAGCAUUCUCAAAUGCUGAAGUCAUCUCCUAUCCACCCGAGGCCCUCAGAUCUGCACAUCGAUGUAUGAAAUUGGAGGCUAAUAUGCAGGAAAGGAUAGCAGAUCUGAUGCCAACCAGAAGAUGCAUGAAUGUCAGGGGAGACAAUGGUAAAGUUGCGAGGUAGACUGUUUAUAUUUGGGGGGGCUGCGUUCCUUCCUCUCUCCUGUUUCAAAACUUCCCCCCAUUCUUGGCUAUUUUCCCACUUUAUAUUCCCACUUCUUUCCAUUUAUUGUGUUACUAAUUAUUGAGUGCAAACAUUUAACAUCACAAUUUAGCAUCAAAAUAAGAUUGUGUACACAGAGAUGAAACAGAUCAACAGGAUCAAAAACAUGUCAGUGUCCAAACAUGCAGGAUGUGUGACCGUGGCUUGAAGAACAUCCUGGAGAUGAUUGCGGAGCCUUUUUUUAAGAAAUGCUGUAACAUCAACCCUCUUGAUGGCAUAGAAGAUAACUUUGUGUGGAAAAUCAGCCUCUAAUGACUCUGAGUAGAAAAGUAUUAUAGAAAAGUCAUACUCUGUACGUGAAGAAGUUUUAGGAAUACCUUACCUUAUUUCACUUAUGACUUCCCUUUUGCAUAUGCACAAGAGUUUAUUUGAUGAAAGUUUGUAUCUAAAUGAGGAUUCUUUUAAUAUGCUUAAAAUAAAAAUUCAAAGCCUUGAUCA